rnacentral:rRNA from 1 species
GUAGUCCACGCCCUAAACGAUGCACACUAGACUGGAGCGGCUCUGACGUCGUUCUGGUCGUAGAGAAAUUGAUAAGUGUGCCGCCUGGGGAGUACGGUCGCAAGGCUAAAACCCAAAGGAAUUGACGGGGGCUCACACAAGCGGUGGAGCAUGUUGCUUAAUUCGAAGCAACGCGAAGAACCUUACCUGGGUUUGACAUGCUUGGAUUAACUCCUUGAAAGAGGAGCCACACUCGCAAGAGUGGAACAAGCACAGGUGCUGCAUGGCUGUCGUCAGCUCGUGCUGUGAAGUGUCGGGUUAAGUCCCUUAACGAGCGCAACCCUUGUCGUUAGUUGCUAACAGGUAAUGCUGAGGACUCUAACGAGACUGCCGGUGUCAAACCGGAGGAAGGUGGGGAUGACGUCAAGUCCUCAUGGCCCUUACAUCCAGGGUUGCAAACGUGCUACAAUGGUGCGUACAGAGCGACGCAAGACCGCAAGGUGGAGCAAAUCGCAAAAAACGCACCUCAGUUCGGAUUGCAGGCUGCAACUCGCCUGCAUGAAGCUGGAAUCGCUAGUAAUCGGAGAUCAGCUACGCUCCGGUGAAUAAGUUCCUGAGCCUUGUACACACCGCCCGUCAAGUCAUGGGAGCCGGUAGUGCCCGAAGUCGCCAAGUUUCAUUGGUGCCAACGGCAAGAUCGGUGACUGGGACU